rnacentral:rRNA from 1 species
AAUAUGUGGCAUACGGCUCAGUAACACGUAGUCAACAUGCCCAGGGGACGUGGAUAACCUCGGGAAACUGAGGAUAAACCGCGAUAGGUCAUCACUUCUGGAAUGGGUAAUGACUUAAACCUAUAUGGCCCCUGGAUUGGACUGCGGCCGAUCAGGCUGUUGGUGAGGUAAUGGCCCACCAAACCUGUAACCGGUACGGGCUCUGAGAGGAGGAGCCCGGAGAUGGGCACUGAGACAAGGGCCCAGGCCCUAUGGGGCGCAGCAGGCGCGAAACCUCUGCAAUAGGCGAAAGCUUGACAGGGUUACUCUGAGUGAUUUCCGUUAAGGAGAUCUUUUGGCAUCUCUAAAAAUGGUGCAGAAUAAGGGGUGGGCAAGUCUGGUGUCAGCCGCCGCGGUAAUACCAGCACCCCGAGUGGUCGGGACGUUUAUUGGGCCUAAAGCAUCCGUAGCCGGUUCUACAAGUCUUCCGUUAAAUCCACCUGCUUAACAGAUGGGCUGCGGAAGAUACUAUAGAGCUAGGAGGCGGGAGAGGCAAGCGGUACUCGAUGGGUAGGGGUAAAAUCCGUUGAUCCAUUGAAGACCACCAGUGGCGAAGGCGGCUUGCCAGAACGCGCUCGACGGUGAGGGAUGAAAGCUGGGGGAGCAAACCGGAUUAGAUACCCGGGUAGUCCCAGCUGUAAACGA